rnacentral:rRNA from 1 species
CCUACGGGAGGCAGCAGUGAGGAAUAUUGGUCAAUGGCCGGAAGGCUGAACCAGCCAUGCCGCGUGAAGGUCAGUGCCCUAUGGGCGUUAAACUUCUUUUGUGCGGGAGCAAUAAUGGUCACGUGUGGCCAGACGAGAGUACCGUACGAAUAAGCAUCGGCUAACUCCGUGCCAGCAGCCGCGGUAAUACGGGGGAUGCGAGCGUUAUCCGGAUUUAUUGGGUUUAAAGGGUGCGUAGGCUGGGAGGUAAGUCAGCGGUGAAAUGCCCCCGCUCAACGGGGUGAAGUGCCAUUGAUACUGCCUGGCUGGAAUGCGGAUGCCGUGGGAGGAAUGUGUGGUGUAGCGGUGAAAUGCAUAGAUAUCACACAGAACACCGAUUGCGAAGGCAUCUCACGAAUCCGCGAUUGACGCUGAUGCACGAAAGCGUGGGUAUCAAACAGGAUUAGAUACCCUGGUAGUC